rnacentral:rRNA from 1 species
CCUACGGGAGGCAGCAGUGGGGAAUAUUGGGCAAUGGGCGAAACCCUGACGCAGCAACGCCGCGUGAAGGAAGAAGGCAUUCGGUUCGUAAACCUCUUUCGACAGGGAAGAGAUGCAGACGUUACCUGCCGAAUAAGGUACGGCUAACUACGUGCCAGCAGCCGCGGUAAUACGUAGGUGGCAAGCGUCGUCCGGAUUUACUGGGUGCAAAGGGUGUGUAGUGGGGCUGACAAGUCUGCUGUGAAAUCCGGGGGCUCAACCCCCGAACUGCAUUUGAAACUGGUGGACUUGAGUAUUGGAGAGGCAGGCGGAAUUCCUAGUGUAGCGGUGAAAUGCGUAGAUAUUAGGAGGAACACCAGUGGCGAAGGCGGCCUGCUGGACGGCAACUGACGGUGAGGCUCGAAAGCGUGGGGAGCAAACAGGAUUAGAUACCCGGGUAGUC